CCGCCUGAGCUGGUGCAUUUCAAAGCGCUGCCUGGGUGGAGAAGCUGUUCCGAGAGAAGCAGCGGUGUGACCCUGCUCUUGCAGGCAUGUGAUGAAUAUUUCAUAGCCCAGAUGUAAUCCUGUCCACAAUUUUCUCUCCUUCCGGCUCGCCAGCACCCCUCUCCUCACGGUCCUCCACCUCUACCCCACCCCAGUCCCCAACCGUUCCCAAGUCAGGAAAAUCAGUCAAAACAUUUAUCAAGAAUCGGUAUGAACCAGCCAAGCGCUGUGAAGAGCUAAUCUGUGCAGAGCUAAUAAGAAUGAACAAAGUCACCACAGACUUCGCCAUGGGCAUCGCUGAUAAGGAUUUGUCAGAAGAAUUGCAGUCAGUAGAUGGGGAAAAAUCAUUCCUGGGCCACAGAAGGGAUAACUGAGACUCAGAGAAGCAAGUCUAGGACCCUUGGACACUUGUUCCAGAUCAGAAGAGACGCUGUCUGAAGCCGCUCCAAGGAGUUGGAACCUAACGGAAGGAAUGGGAUGGGAGACCUGGCUUCAUUUGAAUUUUCCCCAGAGCUAGCAGCCUUCCUCCCAGAGUCCCAGGGAGGGAGGGGCUCAGCCUCACCCAGCGAGGACCGCCCUGACGUCCACCCACUUGACAGCCAGUUAGGACAGCCCACCCCUCUGGUCCACCUCCUGGAAAGUGGGCAUAACUUCAGGUUGAACCCGAAAUGUAAAUAUCCUAAUUGGCAUCUUAUUAGUACAAGCAGAAAAGCCCAUUGUUAUGGAAGAGAAAUCUCCCAAUCCCCCACCAAUUAAUCUUUAGCUACAGGAGGCUCGUGCUCACCAUAUCAAUGGGAGCUGGGGCUCAGGAGUGAGCUGCGGAAGAGGGGACAGUGACAGCAGCAGGUGUGACUGCAGAAUCUCGGAGCUGGAGAACACCGUCCUCAUGGGGUUAAUAGUCUGGCCACCCCCUGGGGAGUGUCCCUACGGUGAGAACAUCUGCUGGUGGUCCAUCCACAGGGAGGCUGCCGUGGAGGAGAGGACACGGGUGGUGGAGGAUUGUGGUGGACAUUUGUUUUGUCCUUUCCUUUGUGGGGCCUCUGCAGCAUCGAGCUGCUUUGCUAGUCGUAUGGGGAUUCCCCGUCAUUUGAGUCGUGGCGGGAGGCAGACUGUGCUUUCCUCUGAAGGAAUGGAAAAUUCCCACUACUUGCUUUCCAAGCAGGGCUCACAUAUGCCCCAGGCUGGGCCAAUCUGGUGCUCCCACUCUCAGCUGACCGACCCAGGAGGCAGAUGGUGGCAGAGACAUGUGAUUCCAGUGACGGCCACUAGUGAGAUUGCUGGUCCCAUCCGUGGGGUAGGAGUUCUAUUCUGUGACCCGAUUUUGCUGGUGCUCCUGGCCGCAAAGUCUAUCUUCCCUUUACCCAUUUUCUUUCUUUAAAAAAAUUUUUUAAGUUUAUUUUAAGAGAGAGAGAGUGAGUGCACUAGCAGGGGAGGGGCAGAGAGAAAGAGAGACAGAAUACCACCAAGUAGGCUCUGCGCCAGCAGCACAGAGCCCAAUGGCAGGGCUUGAACUCACAAACUGUGAGAUCAUGACUUGAGUGGACAUCAAGACUCAGACGCUUAACCAGCUCACCACCCAGGCGCCCUUCUGUCUUCCCUUUGCCCAUUUUCUAAGCCUCAUUUUCUGAUGACCUUCCUGAUAACUGGGAACCAUUGGACAUCUUUUAAAUAAAUUCAUUUUCUGCUUAAAUCUGCCAGGAAUCUGUUCUGUUGCUUGGAAAUAACACACCUGACUACAAAACUACAUUUUAUGGGUCAGAACAAGAGGUGAGGAGGGAAGUUCAGAUUUCUGGAGAGGCUGGCAUGGGCUGAUCUCAGAAAUUGUUUCAUUUGAUCCUACAAGACCAUUUGAAACAUCUACUGAAUCAUUUCCUUUAUUUUACCAAUGAGGAAGCCACGGGCACAGAGUGUUGGCCAUCUGUAGGUGGUAGAACUGGGUUGAAGCCAAGUAGCUGU